rnacentral:rRNA from 1 species
GCAGCACGGGAGCUUGCUCCUGGUGGCGAGUGGCGAACGGGUGAGUAAUAUAUCGGAACGUGCCCUAGAGUGGGGGAUAACUAGUCGAAAGAUUAGCUAAUACCGCAUACGAUCUACGGAUGAAAGUGGGGGAUCGCAAGACCUCAUGCUCGUGGAGCGGCCGAUAUCUGAUUAGCUAGUUGGUGAGGUAAAGGCUCACCAAGGCAUCGAUCAGUAGCUGGUCUGAGAGGACGACCAGCCACACUGGGACUGAGACACGGCCCAGACUCCUACGGGAGGCAGCAGUGGGGAAUUUUGGACAAUGGGGGCAACCCUGAUCCAGCAAUGCCGCGUGAGUGAAGAAGGCCUUCGGGUUGUAAAGCUCUUUUGUCAGGGAAGAAACGGUGAGGGCUAAUAUCCUUUGCUAAUGACGGUACCUGAAGAAUAAGCACCGGCUAACUACGUGCCAGCAGCCGCGGUAAUACGUAGGGUGCAAGCGUUAAUCGGAAUUACUGGGCGUAAAGCGUGCGCAGGCGGUUAUGCAAGACAGAUGUGAAAUCCCCGGGCUCAACCUGGGAAUUGCAUUUGUGACUGUAUGGCUAGAGUGUGUCAGAGGGGGGUAGAAUUCCACGUGUAGCAGUGAAAUGCGUAGAUAUGUGGAGGAAUACCGAUGGCGAAGGCAGCCCCCUGGGAUAACACUGACGCUCAUGCACGAAAGCGUGGGGAGCAAACAGGAUUAGAUAUCCUGGUAGUCCACGCCCUAAACGAUGUCUACUAGUUGUCGGGUCUUAAUUGACUUGGUAACGCAGCUAACGCGUGA